rnacentral:rRNA from 1 species
CAGCAGCCGCGGGAAUACAGAGGGUGCGAGCGUUAAUCGGAUUUACUGGGCGUAAAGCGUGCGUAGGCGGCUUCUUAAGUCGGAUGUGAAAUCCCUGAGCUUAACUUAGGAAUUGCAUUCGAUACUGGUUAGCUAGAGUGUGGGAGAGGAUGGUAGAAUUCCAGGUGUAGCGGUGAAAUGCGUAGAGAUCUGGAGGAAUACCGAUGGCGAAGGCAGCCAUCUGGCCUAACACUGACGCUGAGGUACGAAAGCAUGGGGAGCAAACAGGAUUAGAUACCCCUGUAGUCCCUGUCUCUUAUAC